ACCAGGCAUGGUGGCUUGUGCCUAUAAUCCCUGUUAAUGGGGAGGUGGAGACUGUAAAUUGCUAGAGUUGGGGAGUUGGGAGUUCGGAGCUGCAAUAGGACUAAAGCUGAUUGGGUGUCCACACUAAAGCUGGCACCAAUAUUGUGAAGUCCUGGGAGCAGGGGCCUAAAGAGGGGUGAACCAAUAUAGGUCAGAAAUGGAGCAACAGAAAAAUUCCAUGCCAGCCAGCAGUGGGAUCAGGGCCAUGACUAUCUGCUGCCUUCAAGCCUGGAAAAAAUAGGGAUAA
rnacentral:SRP_RNA from 1 species